CCUACGGGUGGCUGCAGUCGAGAAUCAUUCACAAUGGGCGAAACCCUGAUGGUGCGACGCCGCGUGGGGGCCUUCCGUUCUUCGGCUUGUCCCCCCCUGUCCUGUGGGAGCAAAUUAAAAAGAUAGUCCCACAAGAGGACGAGACGGCUAACUCUGUGCCAGCAGCCGCGGUCCUACAGAGGUCUCAAGCGUUUCUCGGAAUCACUGGGCGUAAAGCGUUCGUAGGCUGUUUCGUAAGUCGUGUGUGAAAGGCGCGGGCUCAACCCGCGGACGGCACAUGACACUGCGAGACUAGAGUAAUGGAGGGGGAACCGGAAUUCGCGGUGUAGAAGUGAAAUGCGUAGAUAUCGAGAGGAACACUCGUGGCGAAGGCGGGUUCCUGGACAUUAACUGACGCUGAGGCACGAAGGCCAGGGGAGCGAAAGGGAUUAGAUACCCGGGUAGUC
rnacentral:rRNA from 1 species